rnacentral:rRNA from 1 species
AGAGUUUGAUCCUGGCUCAGAACGAACGCUGGCGGCGUGCUUAAGACAUGCAAGUCGAACGGUAAGGCCCCUUCGGGGGUACACGAGUGGCGCACGGGUGAGUAACGCGUGGGUAAUCUACCGCCGGGUCCGGGACAACUUCGGGAAACUGGAGCUAAUACCGGAUGAGACCACGAGAUCCCCGGAUCUCGCGGAAAAACGAUGGCCUCUGCUUGCAAGCUAUCGCCUGGCGAUGAGCCCGCGUCCCAUUAGCUAGUUGGUGAGGUAAUGGCUCACCAAGGCAGUGAUGGGUAGCUGGUCUGAGAGGAUGAUCAGCCACACUGGGACUGAGACACGGCCCAGACUCCUACGGGAGGCAGCAGUCGGGAAUUUUGGGCAAUGGGCGAAAGCCUGACCCAGCAACGCCGCGUGAGGGAUGAAGGCCUUCGGGUCGUAAACCUCUGUCGGGAGGGAAGAACGUUCCCGGGGUGAACAAUCCCGGGGGCUGACGGUACCUCCAAAGGAAGCGCCGGCUAACUCCGUGCCAGCAGCCGCGGUAAUACGGAGGGCGCAAGCGUUGUUCGGAAUCAUUGGGCGUAAAGCGCGUGUAGGCGGCUUGGCAAGUCGAGUGUGAAAGCCCGGGGCUCAACCCCGGAAGGUCGCUCGAAACUGCCUCGCUCGAGUCCCGGAGAGGAAGGCGGAAUUCCCGGUGUAGAGGUGAAAUUCGUAGAUAUCGGGAGGAACACCAGCGGCGAAGGCGGCCUUCUGGACGGUGACUGACGCUGAGACGCGAAAGCGUGGGGAGCAAACAGGAUUAGAUACCCUGGUAGUCCACGCCGUAAACGUUGGGUGCUAGGUGUCGCGGGUAUUGACCCCUGCGGUGCCGCCGCUAACGCAUUAAGCACCCCGCCUGGGGAGUACGGUCGCAAGGCUAAAACUCAAA